rnacentral:rRNA from 1 species
UGCCAGACUCCUACGGGAGGCAGCAGUGGGGAAUAUUGCACAAUGGGGGGAACCCUGAUGCAGCGACGCCGCGUGAAGGAAGAAGUAUCUCGGUAUGUAAACUUCUAUCAGCAGGGAAGAAAGAGGACGGUACCUGACUAAGAAGCCCCGGCUAACUACGUGCCAGCAGCCGCGGUAAUACGGAGGAUGCGAGCGUUAUCCGGAUUUAUUGGGUUUAAAGGGUGCGCAGGCGGAAGAUCAAGUCAGCGGUAAAAUUGAGAGGCUCAACCUCUUCGAGCCGUUGAAACUGGUCUUCUUGAGUGAGCGAGAAGUAUGCGGAAUGCGUGGUGUAGCGGUGAAAUGCAUAGAUAUCGCGCAGAACCCCGAUUGCGAAGGCAGCGUACCGGCUCCACACUGACGCUGAGGCACGAAAGCGUGGGUAUCGAACAGGAUUAGAUACCCCGGUAG